rnacentral:siRNA from 1 species
AAGAAUCAAUGUGUUACGAAGCUA